UUUGACCGUUAGCUUCCACCCCGCUAGCUUCCUGUCCGUCUCUGAAGACCUGAGGUUCGCAACUGGGCUCCGUGGACACAGAGUAGCAGCAGAUCUCCCGGUCCUGAAUGGCAGAAAGGUUCCUGCGUAGAUCAGGACGGCUCCAGGGCCCAGAUGUCAACGGGGCCCUUUUGAUCUCUGGUGAUGAUGACCCCCUCUGCUGCCCGCACCCCACCCACGAUGUAGUACACCCCGGUGAUGAGGGGGGUCGUCGACAGACGCGUCACUGCGUCCUCAAAGUCUUUGGCCUCCUCCAGGGUCUGCCUUCCUGAAGAUGCUCCCACCGCUGUUCUGGACUAAGGUCCAGAUCGACAGACACUGUAGGCGGCUG